AAUGGCUGCAGUAAUUUGACUGUACAAAGGUAGCAUAAUCAUUAGUUUUUUAAUUAAAAGCUUGUAUGAAAGGUUGGACGAAAUAAAAUCUGUCUCUUUUUAAAAAAAAUUAGAAUUUUAUUUUUAAGUUAAAAAGCUUAAAUUUUUAUAAAAGACGAGAAGACCCUAUAGAGUUUUAUAAUUUUAAUUUAAUAAUUAAUUUAGAUUUAUUGAUUUUAUUUUAUUUAAAUUAUUUUAUUGGGGUAAUAAAAAGAUUAAAUAAAUUCUUUUUUAAUUUAAUCAUUAAUAUAUGAAAAUUUUGAUCCAUUAAGUUUUGAGUAUAAGAUUAAAUUACCUUAGGGAUAACAGCGUAAUUUUUUUUUAGAGUUCUUAUCGAUAAAAAAGUUUGCGACCUCGAUGUUGGAUUAAAGAUUAAUUUAGGUGUAGAAGUUUAAAUUUUUGGUCUGUUCGACCAUUGAAUCUUUACAUGAUCUGAGUUCAAACCGGUGUAAGCCAGGUUGGUUUCUAUCUUUAUUAUAGUUUUAUAUUUUAGUACGAAAGGACCAAGUAUAAAGUAUUUAAAUACUUAAAUUAUUGAAUAU
rnacentral:rRNA from 1 species